AUUGAACGCUGGCGGCAUGCCUUACACAUGCAAGUCGAACGGCAGCACGGGAGCAAUCCUGGUGGCGAGUGGCGAACGGGUGAGUAAAGCAUCGGAACGUGCCCAGUCGUGGGGGAUAACGUAGCGAAAGCUACGCUAAUACCGCAUACGAUCUGUGGAUGAAAGCGGGGGACCGUAAGGCCUCGCGCGAUCGGAGCGGCCGAUGUCAGAUUAGGUAGUUGGUGAGGUAAAGGCUCACCAAGCCGACGAUCUGUAGCUGGUCUGAGAGCACGACCAGCCACACUGGGACUGAGAAACGUCCCAGACUCCUACGGGAGGCAGCAGUUGGGAAUUUUGGACAAGAGGCGCAAGCCUGAUCCAGCAAUGCCGCGUGCAGGAUGAAGGCCUUCGGGUUGUAAACUGCUUUUGUACGGAGCGAAACGGCUUCCACUAAUACUGGGGGCUAAUGACGGUACCGUAAGAAUAAGCACCGGCUAACUACGUGCCAGCCGCCGCCGUAAGAC
rnacentral:rRNA from 1 species